rnacentral:lncRNA from 1 species
AUUUAGAGUUUAGGAUUUAAAAUUUGGAUUAAGAUUUGGUUUAGGGUUUAGGAUUUGGAUUACGAUUUGGUUAGAGUUUGAUUUAGGAUUUAGGAUUUGAUUUAGGAUUUGAUUAGGAUUUGGUUUAGGAUUUAGUUGGGAUUUAGUUUAAGGUUUGUUUAGGAUUUGAUUUAGGGUUUAUGAUUUUAUUAGGAUUUAAUAUUCAAUUAGUUUUGGCCUAAAGUUUGAAUGAAGUUCAAUAGGAUUUUAACUAAAAUUAAAUUAAGAUUGAAUUGAGAUAUAUUUGAGUGAUAUUUGUGAUCCUUCUAAUAUUUUUUUAAGAAUUCUUAUUAUUUGUUUGAAAUUUCUUUAAGAUUUUUUUAAAUUUUUAUUAAGCUUGCUUAGCAUUAUUAUGGUCUAAUUAUAGUAUUGUUAGUAGUCUAUUAGAAUUAGAAUUUUGUUAUUACAAUUUUUAUUCUUUCUUCCACAGCUAGGUGUCCAGAGCAUUCUCAAGCAAGACUUCAUGUAUUAUGACACCAUAAGAGUAUCCGCAUUUUUUUUCUCAAAUACAUCUUAAAAAUCUUGAUAUUGGCUU